rnacentral:rRNA from 1 species
AUGGGGCAGGAGGGGAUGGGCUACAGCAGCGGCAAGGCCGGCGGCGGUGGGGGAGGGGCCCUGCCGAUGACGGCGGCGCGGGCGCGUGGGGCGUCGCCGCUCAGCACCCACCAUCGGUCGCGGAAGAUCAGCCGCACCUUCAACAACGUCAAGAUCACCGUGCUUUGCGGCCUCGUCACCAUCCUCGUCCUCCGGGGUACCAUUGGGCUCAACCUCUCCCUUCCGUCCCAACCCUCCGACGCCGAUGCCCUCGCAGGCGCCAAGGCCGUUGAGGACAUCGACCGCAUCCUCCGCGAGAUCCGCUCCGACUCCGACCCCUCCGACCCCACCGACAGCGACCUCGACUCCUCCAGCGUCCUUUCCAACGCCACCGCACUCAACUCCUCGGAAGCCGCCGCCGCCUAUGCCGCCGCCGUGGGCAACUACGCGCUCGGUCCCAACGUCUCUGGCUGGGACGAGCAGCGCCGACGGUGGCUCGCGCAGAACAAGGGCUUCCCAGCCACUGUCCCCGGCGGCAAGCCCAGGAUCCUGCUUGUCACGGGGUCGCAACCAGGCCCUUGUGACAACCCGCUUGGCGACCACUACCUGCUCAAGAGCACCAAAAACAAGAUCGACUACUGCCGCUUCCACGACAUCGAGAUCGUUCACAACCUUGCGCACCUCGACAACGAGCUCGCUGGUUACUGGGCCAAGCUGCCGCUGCUCCGCCGACUUAUGCUCUCCCACCCGGAGGUCGAGUGGAUCUGGUGGAUGGACAGUGACGCCCUAUUCACCGACAUGGCCUUUGAGCUGCCUCUCUCGCGCUAUGACAACCAUAACCUCAUCAUUCACGGUUAUCAUGAUCUCCUCUUUGAGAAGCAUUCUUGGAUCGCGCUCAACACCGGCAGCUUCCUCUUCCGGAACUGCCAGUGGUCACUCGAUCUUCUCGCUGCGUGGGCUCCUAUGGGGCCCAAGGGCUUCAUCCGCGAGGAAGCCGGGAAGAUACUCACCGCAUACCUGAAGGGCCGUCCAGCAUUCGAGGCUGACGACCAGUCUGCGUUGAUAUACCUCUUGCUCUCGCAGAAGGAGAAGUGGAUGGACAAGGUGUAUAUAGAGAAUUCAUACUACUUGCACGGUUUCUGGGCUGGGCUGGUGGACAAGUACGAGGAGAUGAUGGAGAACCACCAUCCAGGGCUUGGGGAUGAGCGGUGGCCAUUUGUGACACACUUUGUCGGGUGCAAGCCAUGCGGAAGCUAUGGUGAUUACCCAGUAGACCGGUGUCUCAAGAGUAUGGAGCGGGCAUUUAAUUUUGCCGAUAACCAGGUGCUGCACCUGUAUGGUUUCGCACACAAGGGGCUGGAAAGCCCUAAGAUCAAAAGGAUCAGGAGUCAGACCACAAAGCCUAUUAAUGACAAGGAGAACCUUGAUGUGAAGGCCAAGAUGUCGACCACUUCUUGA